UUUGCGCCUACACACUGACCCCUACCGGUCAUUCAGUGUACUAUAGGCUUCUCAGAUAUUAUUGCAUUUCAUGUAGUAACCAACGAACCACUGCAUUUUCACCUACACACUGACCCCUACCGGUCAUUCAGUGUACUACAGGCUUUUCAGACAUGAUCGCAUUUCAUGUACAAACCAACGAACCACUGCAUUUUCGCCUACACACUGACCCCUACCGGUCUUUUGGUGUACUACAGGCUUGUUAGACAUUAUCGCAUUUCAUGU